UACGUAGGGUGCGAGCGUUAAUCGGAAUUACUGGGCGUAAAGCGUGCGCAGGCGGUUUUGUAAGCCAGAUGUGAAAUCCCCGGGCUUAACCUGGGAAUGGCAUUUGGGACUGCAAAGCUUGAGUGUGGCAGAGGGGACUGGAAUUCCUGGUGUAGCAGUGAAAUGCGUAGAGAUCAGGAGGAACACCGAAGGCGAAGGCAGUGUCCUGGGGAGUACCUGACGCUCAGGUGCGAAAGCGUGGGGAGCAAACAGG
rnacentral:rRNA from 1 species